rnacentral:rRNA from 1 species
CCUACGGGUGGCAGCAGUGGGGAAUAUUGCACAAUGGGGGAAACCCUGAUGCAGCAACGCCGCGUGAGCGAUGAAGGCCUUCGGGUCGUAAAGCUCUGUCCUAGGGGAGGAAUCCUACGGUUACCUUAGGGGGAACCCCCGCCAAACUACGUGCCACCACCCGCGGAAAUCCGUAGGGGGCAAGCGUUAUCCGGAAUUACUGGGCGUAAAGGGUGCGUAGGCGGCCCUUCAAGUCAGAGGUGAAAGGCUACGGCUCAACCGUAGUAAGCCUUUGAAACUGUAGGGCUUGAGUGCAGGAGAGGAGAGUGGAAUUCCCAGUGUAGCGGUGAAAUGCGUAGAUAUUGGGAGGAACACCAGUUGCGAAGGCGGCUCUCUGGACUGUAACUGACGCUGAGGCACGAAAGCGUGGGGAGCGAACAGGAUUAGAUACCCCAGUAGUC